UUAUGGUUUAAUAAUUUUAUUUAAAGUUUAUUUUACAUAUAAAUUUUAGUAUUAAUUUUAAAUUAUUUUAAUAAUAAUUUAUAUUAAAAGUAGUAAUUAAUAUUAAUUAUUUAAGAAAUUAAGAUUUAGUAAUACUUUAAUUAAUAACAAAUUUUGUGCCAGCAGUUGCGGUUAUACAAAAAUUAAAUUAAAUUUUAUUAGUAAUUAAUAAAUAUUAUAAAAAUUAUAAUAAAAUUAAAUUAUUAAGUGAAAUUUUAAUUUAUUAGAUUUAUAAUUAAAAAUUAUGAUUUAAUAAAUUUUAUGAAAAACUAGGAUUAGAUACCCUAUUAUAAAAAUUUAAAAUUAAAAUACUAAAAUAGUAAAUAAUUAUUUAUUGAAACUUAAAUAAUUUGGCGGUAUUUUAGUUCAUUUAGAGGAAUCUGUUUAAUAAUUGAUAAUCCACGAAUAAAUUUACUUAAUUUAUAAUUUUGUAUAUCGUUGUUAAAAAAAUAUUUUUUAAUAAAAUUAAUAUUUUAAAAUUAUAAUAUAAAUUUAAGUCAGAUCAAGAUGCAGAAUAUAAUUAAGAAUAUAAUGGAUUACAAUAAAUUUAUUUAAAUGAAUAUUAAUUUGUAAAAAUUAAUUGAAGGUGGAUUUAAAUGUAAUUUUAUUUAAUUUAAUAAAAUGAUUUUUAAUUAAAAUAUGUACAUAUUGCCCGUCGCUUUCAUAUAAUAAUAAGUUGGAAUAAGUCGUAACAAAGUAGAGGUACUGGAAAGUGUUUCUAGAAAGAU
rnacentral:ncRNA from 1 species